rnacentral:snRNA from 1 species
AGCUUUGCGCAGAGGUGGUACCAUGGCCAAUGAGGUAAAUCCAAGGCGUGGUUAUUGGAAGUUGUAAAUAAUAUACUCACACACACACAUACAUACACACACACACACAUACACACACACACAUAGAUAUGUAUGUAUAUAUAAAUAUUGUUGAGUCGUCAAACGAA